rnacentral:rRNA from 1 species
CCCUGACGAUGCGACGCCGCGUGGAGGAUGAAGGCCUUAGGGUUGUAAACUCCUGUCAAGAGGGAAUAAGCAAGUGAAUGUACCUCUAGAGGAAGGGGCGGCUAAUUCCGUGCCAGCAGCCGCGGUAACACGGAAGCCCCGAGCGUUGUUCGGAUUCAUUGGGCGUAAAGGGUGCGUAGGCGGCGCGGAAAGUCCGGCGUGAAAGGCAGGGGCUCAACCUCUGGACUGCGUUGGAUACUUCCGUGCUUGAGGACUGGAGGGGAGACUGGAAUUCACGGUGUAGCAGUGAGAUGCGUAGAUAUCGUGAGGAAGACCGGUUGGCCGAAGGCGAGUCUCUGGACAGAUCCUGACGCUGAGGCACGAAGGCUGGGGGAGCGAACAGGAUUAGAUACCCUGGUAGUCCCAGCAGUAAACGAUGUGAGCUUGAUGUGGGGGGAUUCGACCCCUUCCGUGUCGAAGCUAACGCGAUAAGCUCACCGCCUGAGGAGUACGGCCGCAAGGCUAAAACUCAAAGAAAUUGACGGGGACCCGCACAAGCGGUGGAGUAUGUGGCUUAAUUCGAUGCAACGCGAAGAACCUUACCUGGCCUUGACAUGCAUUNGUGUCGUCGGUGAAAGCCGGCUAGUCCUGGAAACAGGACGCUUUGCACAGGUGCUGCAUGGCUGUCGUCAGCUCGUGUCGUGAGAUGUUGGGUUAAGUCCCGCAACGAGCGCAACCCUUGUGGUCAGUUACUAACCGGCUUAGCCGGAGGACUCUGGCCAGACUGCCCUGUCAAACGGGGAGGAAGGUGGGGACGACGUCAAGUCAGUAUGGCCCUUAUGGCCAGGGCUGCACACGUACUACAAUGCCCGGUACAAUGUGAACCGAAACCGCGAGGUGGAGGAAAUCGCUUUUGAAAACCGGGCCCAGUUCGGAUUGGAGUCUGCAACUCGACUCCAUGAAGUCGGAAUCGCUAGUAAUGGCGUAUCAGCAACGACGCCGUGAAUACGUUCCCGGGUCUUGUACACACCGCCCGUCACAUCAUGGAAGUCUCCUGUACCCGAAGCACGUGCGCCAACCUUUCAGGAGGCAGCGUUCGAAGGUAUGGGAGGUAACUGGGAUGAAGU